AUUGAACGCUGGCGGAAUGCUUUACACAUGCAAGUCGAACGGCGGCACGGACUUCGGUCUGGUGGCGAGUGGCGAACGGGUGAGUAAUACAUCGGAACGUGCCCAGUCGUGGGGGAUAACGUAGCGAAAGCUACGCUAAUACCGCAUACGAUCUACGGAUGAAAGCGGGGGAUCGCGAGACCUCGCGCGAUUGGAGCGGCCGGUGGCAGAUUAGGUAGUUGGUGGGGUAAAGGCUAACCAAGCCGACGAUCUGUAGCUGGUCUGAGAGGACGACCAGCCACACUGGGACUGAGACACGGCCCAGACUCCUACGGGAGGCAGCAGUGGGGAAUUUUGGACAAUGGGCGCAAGCCUGAUCCAGCCAUUCCGCGUGCAGGAUGAAGGCCCUCGGGUUGUAAACUGCUUUUGUACGGAACGAAAAGGCUCUGGUUAAUACCCGGGGCUCAUGACGGUACCGUAAGAAUAAGCACCAGCUAACUACGUGCCAGCAGCCGCCGUAA
rnacentral:rRNA from 1 species